AAUACCUUUUAAUACCUUUUUUAAUACCUUCACAAUAUUGUUUAAUACCAACACGACUUCGAGCUGCAACUAGCGGCAACCUUUCGAAAUUCAGUGUUGGGGGUAACUAAUUAUAAAUAACAGAUUACUGUCAUUUUUGUUACUUAACUUUCUGAGUAAGAAAGUGUAGCAAUGCUUACAAUUCAAAUCAAGUAUCUAUUAUUACAGUUACUGGAUACUUUGUUCCUUUUUUGCUUCAAUAAAAACACUGGCCUAUA